CUGUAUUUUAAGUUUAAUAUAAAUUACGAAGUGAUUUUCAAGCUGUAACUUAAUAUUGAUUCAAUUGACCAAUGAGAGAACUCGAAGAGUAGGUAUGAUAUCCACAUCACGCUACAGCUAUUGAUCAGCCAAGUUCUAUGACAAGUUAACAAUUUGUCAGCAAAUAAAAGUACUUUAUUUUGACCCAAGAUUUUAUGUAAAAGAGAGUAAUAAGACAGUAAAAUCUGUAUAACAUAUAUGAUGAAAUUUAUAUUUAUUUUCGGAGUAUUCCUACUGAUUAAUAAUAGAAAUGUAUUUGCUGCAGUGUCAUGUGACACGCCGGAUUCUGUUUUACUGAGUUGUGCUAAUCCGUGUACCAUACCUUUAUGUCCAGAAGAGGACAUAAAAAGAAAAAAGAUCUGCAAAACCAUUCAUUAUGAAUGUUCUCCUCUUGAAAAAUGUUAUUGUGGUGAAGGUUUUAAAGAAACAGAAGAAGGAAAAUGUCAGCCUUGCUGAAAAAUCAAAGCUAUAUCUCAAUUCUUAAACUUGUAUAUCCUAUAUAAGUUGCAUUAUCGUCUAGUUGAUUUAUACUUUAAAUCUUCUUGAUAAUUUUAACCAUAAAGUAGUCUUUACUCAUUAAAAACAUAUUCUAAAUGUAAUUCAUUCUGGUAAAAUGUACUUUGUAAUAAUCAAAUAAUUAAUAAAAUUAAAUUUCAAAAUUUUAACAUAAAGUGUAAAUAGGUUUACAU
rnacentral:lncRNA from 1 species